UACAGAGGGUGCGAGCGUUGUCCGGAAUCACUGGGCGUAAAGGGCGCGUAGGCGGCCCGGUAAGGUUGCGGUGAAAGCCCGGAGCUCAACUCCGGAACUGCCAUUGAAACUGUUGGACUUGAGUACGAGAGAGGUGAGUGGAAUUCCCAGUGUAGAGGUGAAAUUCGUAGAUAUUGGGAAGAACACCGGUGGCGAAGGCGGCUCACUGGCUCGUAACUGACGCUCAGGCGCGACAGCGUGGGGAUCAAACAGG
rnacentral:rRNA from 1 species